rnacentral:rRNA from 1 species
UAACGAAUCUUCCGCAAUGGGCGAAAGCCUGACGGAGCAAUGCCGCGUGUGGGAUGAAGCGUCUCUGACGUGUAAACCACUGUCAGGGGGCAGGAACAAUGACCGCCCCCAAAGGAAGUGGCGACUAACUCUGUGCCAGCAGUCGCGGUAAUACAGAGGCCACAAGCGUUAGUCGGAAUCACUGGGCUUAAAGGGUGCGUAGGCGGCUCGAAAAGUGCUUUGUGAAAUCCCGGGGCUCAACCCCGGAACAGCAGGGCAUACUGUCGAGCUUGAGGCAGGUAGGGGUCGCGAGAACAGUAGGUGGAGCGGUGAAAUGCGUAGAUAUCUACUGGAAUGCCGAUGGUGAAGACGCGCGACUGGGCCUGUCCUGACGCUGAGGCACGAAAGCGUGGGGAGCAAACA